rnacentral:rRNA from 1 species
AGCGAGCGCUGGCGGCAGGCUUAACACAUGCAAGUCGAACGGUCCUUCGGGAUAGUGGCGGACGGGUGAGUAACACGUGGGAACGUACCCUUAGGUUCGGAACAACACAGGGAAACUUGUGCUAAUACCGGAUAAGCCCUUCGGGGGAAAGAUUUAUCGCCUUUGGAGCCGCCAGCGUCUGAUUAGGUUGUUGGUGAGGUAAUGACUCACCAAGGCUACGAUCAGUAGCUGGUCUGAGAGGAUGGACAGCCACACUGGGACGGAGACACGGACCAGACUCCUACGGGAGGGAGGAGUGGGGAAUCUUGCGCAAUGGGCGAAAGCCUGACGCAGUCAUGCCGCGUGGAUGAUGAAGGUCUUAGGAUUGUAAAAUCCUUUCACCGGGGACGAUAAUGACGGUACCCGGAGAAGAAGCCCCGGCUAACUUCGUGCCAGCCGCCGCCGUAA